rnacentral:snRNA from 1 species
GUGCUCGCUUUGGCAGCACAUAUGCUAAAAUUGGAACGAUACAGAGAAGAUUAGCAUGGCCCCUGCGCAAGGAUGAUGUGCAAAUUCGUGAAGCGCUCCAUGUUUUU